GAAGGUGUGGGGUGCAGAAAUGGAGACCUCAGCACAGGAGACAGGAAGAAAGGGAACUCCUUGGGUAAUGGCUAAAGGAAUAUUGGGAGGACAGCUUUGCCAGAGAGCAACCAGACCCGAUCAGCAGGAAGUCAGAAGGCUCUAGGCGGGGAGGGAGUUUGUCCCCGGGGAAAAUAAAUGGGACUGACAAAUUAUCCAACAGGUUUGGUCAUGUGGAAAAUUAUACUGAGGGCAUGGAAAGUUUUAGUCAAUUGUUUUUAAAAAAACAAACCUAAGUUGAUGAAAACUGAGGUAGUGAUUAACAGGAAAAACAAAAAAGAAAAGAAGCAGGGUCAUAGUCGACUACUUGACCGAGGAAUAAAAUCUAGAUUCAUGGUCAUAAUUGUGGAAAUGUAGAAUAAGAAUUGAAAAAAAAAAAAAAAAAAGAUGUAAGUAUUUGGGGAGGAUUGGGGGAGGGGAAGAGGGAACGGAAGAAAAACUUCUUGUCUACCACAUUAAGACGUCGAUGGAUGUUUAAGAUGAUGACUCAAGCUAUCUAAGAAUAGUGUUAUUUACAAAUGGAGUGGUAAAGAAGAAACAGCUUUCAAGAGAAGAAGGGUCACCAGGAAGCACACCUUCAGGAAACACCAUUUCUGUUCUAGUCCAAAGGGCACCAUCCACCUCGACCAGAAUGUGAGAUGCCCUUUGGAGUUGCACAGAGGUCCUGCCUCUUUCCACCUGCACUGCUGUCACCCUGGCCCGGCCACCACCCUCUCACUGUAUUUCUGCAGCUGAGACCUAGGCCUUAUGCAAGGGAAGGCCCAGGCCAGGAGGGGCCUCACAGCAAGAGUGAAGGAUGCCGCUUGGACAAAAGAGGAGGGUGGAAGACUGGAUGCCACGGAGAAGCCCUUCCAUGCCCAGGAGCCGGCGCGGCAUGAACUUUGGGAGGCCCCAGAGCCUCUGACCCCCCUUCUAAACCAGCACCGUAUUCUGAUUGGCUGUCUCUGCCUGCCUCGGUUUAUUCCUCUUACUGAUCGACCACCUCCUUCCACCGUGUCAGAUCUCUGUUCCUACUGGGCCAGUCCCCCCACCUGCCACAGGGUCACCCAGGAUGGCCUGGGUUCUGCGAGGCCUCGACGGCUUGCCUCUUGCCACCAUCAGAUUCUUCCUCAUUAAACAAAUGAAUCACAAUCCUAAUUAAUUUGAGCAACAGAAUUUAUGUAACUACUCCCAGCAGGAUGUCUGCUCUCAGUCGGUAGCAAGAUUAAUUCCUCUCUCUGGGAAAUUCCAGCCGUGCUGGUCAAUAAAGCUUUAAUGAUGA